AGUUAUAUACAUUUGGUACAUAUAUUAAUUAUCUUUGAAGUUGUGUUAAAAACAUUGUGUGGUGUAGAUUAAUCGUCCGAGUAAAAUAUAAUAAAGUACCUAGGUAAUAAUGAAUACGUUACCAAGUUUCUCUUCGUCAUUGGGUGUUCUCCUGAUAUGCAGCUUCAUUCCAUUUGUCGCGCCAAUAACGUCAAGGCCAUGGAUUCCAUGGGACGACCGAGUGGUAUCAAAAAUUCAUUAUAAAUAUAUAUUGACAGGUCCAGUUGAAAACGUAAUUUUUUGGGUUAAACGUACAAUGUUUUUGACGCAAGAUGAGUAUGGUGCAUUGUGUUACAUCGCCAUCAAGACUAACAGAACCAACGUCAGAUAUGGUAAUACUCCUCAGGACUAUCUACCCAUGAAAACUAAUCUGGACUAUAUGUCCAAGAAAUAUCAUAAAAGUAGGGAUAGGAAUUUAUGUCAAUUUGCUAACACAGCUUUUAAAACGAAAAAAGAAGUUGAUCUGUUUUGCAUCCGUGUUGGUGGCACCAACCAAGUAACUGCAAUUCAGUAUUCUGACACAAGAAAUAUAUCCGAUUGGAAACACCUCAAAUAUGGUAGAGUUUGCGAAGGUGACUAUAAAUAAUAGGCUGUAAUAACUUUUGAACAGAGCAAGUUGAUUUUCUUAUGCCUUAUGCUAGCUUUUAAUUAUAUGAAUUAUUGGAAAUUGAAAUAAAUAAAAUGAUAUUCGUUAA